rnacentral:rRNA from 1 species
UGCGUAGGUGGAUUGCCAAGUCCGUGGUGAAAUCUUCGAGCUUAACUCGGAAACUGCCGUGGAUACUGGUAGUCUUGAAUACCGUGGAGGUCAGCGGAAUAUGUCAUGUAGCGGUGAAAUGCUUAGAUAUGACAUAGAACACCAAUUGCGAAGGCAGCUGACUACGCGAAUAUUGACACUCAGGCACGAAAGCUGGGAUCAAACA